rnacentral:miRNA from 1 species
UAGUGUGACCAACUGUCCCAGUUUGUCUGGAACUGUUUUAGGUUUAGCACUGAAGAUCAAGAAACCCCUCAGUCCUGGGUAAACUAAGGUGGCUUGUCACCUUAAGGUGCU